CUCUCCUUCAUCUGGUCUCUACUCUUGUCCUCUUCCUAUGACUGAUGGAGGAGCUAGACUAAUUGAAGAAUAAGAUGGAGAAUCACGCUAGUAAGGCUGUGGGCCUUUGGUGAAGUGGGCCAUUGCUCAGGACGUUGAGAGCUACGACCCAAUCCUGAACCUUGUCCUAUCCUAGACGACAACAGGUAUCCCCAAUUCUAAUUAUACAU